UUCGGACAAGGAACCAAGCUCUUUGUUACUGACUCUACCCUCCCUCCGCCUGUCUUGACCAUCUAUCCUCCGUCCAGCGAUGAGUUGAAGUCCAGCAAAGUCACCCUGGUGUGUCUGGCCAGUCAGAUGGCCAUGGGCUACGCUGAUGUCAGCUGGACAGCGGGAGGGAAUCCGGUCACCGGCGGCAUCGCUACGAGUGGCCCGGUGCCGCAAGCCGACAAGACGUUUCAACUCAGCAGCUGUCUGACCGUUGACACGUCAGAAUGGAACCAGGACAAAGUGUUCUCAUGUAAAGUCACCGCGGGCUCCAAGUUCGCUGAGAAAGGCAUCAAGAAGUCUGAAUGCAGCACUGAAUAGCCUGAGAACCAUUGUAAUGUCCAUUUGAUUUUCUACAUCACUUUUCAAGUUAUUGUUAGAAUUAUAAUUUUUCUUUGCAUAUAUACUGCAUACAUUCUGUUCCAAAAAAGAGAGAAAUAGCUACUAAUACUUAUAUCAUAGGCUAUAUGA